UACGAAGGGUGCAAGCGUUACUCGGAAUUACUGGGCGUAAAGCGCACGUAGGCGGCUUGGUAAGUUAGAGGUGAAAGCCUGGAGCCCAACUCCAGAAUUGCCUUUAAGACUGCCGAGCUAGCAGGUGAGAGAGGUGAGUGGAAUUCCGAGUGUAGAGGUGAAAUUCGUAGAUAUUCGGAAGAACACCAGUGGCGAAGGCGGCUCACUGGCUCAUACUGGACGCUGAGGUGCGAAAGCGUGGGGAGCAAACAGG
rnacentral:rRNA from 1 species